rnacentral:rRNA from 1 species
CCUACGGGUGGCAGCAGUGGGGAAUAUUGGACAAUGGGCGCAAGCCUGACCCAGCAACGCCGCGUGAAGGAAGAAGGCUUUCGGCUCGUAAACUUCUAUUAACAGGGACGAAAGAAGUGACGGUACCUGAAUAAUAAGCCUCGGCUAACUACGUGCCAGCAGCCGCGGUAAUACGUAGGUGGCAAGCGUUAUCCGGAUUUACUGGGUGUAAAGGGUGAGUAGGCGGCAUGGUAAGCCAGAUGUGAAAUCCAGGGGCUCAACCUGUGGACUGCAUUUGGAACUGUCUUGCUGGAGUGCGGGGAAGGAAAGCGGAAUUCCUGGUGUAGCGGUGAAAUGCGUAGAUAUUAGGAAGAACACCAGUGGCGAAGGCGGCUUUCUGGACAGCAACUGACGCUGAGGCGCGAAAGCGUGGGGAGCGAACAGGAUUAGAUACCCCAGUAGUC